UACGUAGGGGGCGAGCGUUAUCCGGAUUUACUGGGUGUAAAGGGAGCGUAGACGGCAUGGCAAGUCUGGAGUGAAAGCCCGGGGCCCAACCCCGGGACUGCUCUGGAAACUGCCAUGCUAGAGUGCUGGAGAGGUAAGUGGAAUUCCUAGUGUAGCGGUGAAAUGCGUAGAUAUUAGGAGGAACACCAGUGGCGAAGGCGGCUUACUGGACAGUGACUGACGUUGAGGCUCGAAAGCGUGGGGAGCAAACAGG
rnacentral:rRNA from 1 species